UUAAGCUACUAAGAGCAUAGGGUGAAUGCCUUGGCACCAAGAGCCGAUGAAGGACGUGAUAAGCUGCGAAAAGCUACGGGGAGGAGCAAAUAUCCAUUAUAUCCAUAGAUAUCCGAAUGAGGAAACUCAACUGGUGGAAAAAGACCAGUUAUCCAUACAUAAGUAAAGUAGUGUAUGUGAAGGGAACGUGGGGAACUGAAACAUCUAAGUACCCACAGGAAAAGAAAGAAAACUCGAUUCCUUGAGUAGUGGCGAGCGAAAGAGGAAGAGCCUAAACCAGAAGAAGUAAUUCUACUGGGGUUAUGGACUACAUAAUUGAUUCAUGAGAUUUAGCAGAACUGUUUGGAAAAUCAGACCAAAGAUAGUGAAAGUCUAGUAAGCGAAAAAUCAAAUGACAUGGUAGUAUCCAGAGUAGUGCGAGACACGGGAAAUCUCGUAUGAAAAAUGGGGGACCACCCCCAAAGGCUAAAUACUACUUGGUGACCGAUAGUGAAGCAGUACCGUGAGGGAAAGGUGAAAAGAACCCCGGGAGGGGAGUGAAAGAGAACCUGAAACCCUAUGUUUACAAGCAGACAAAGCACGUUAAGGUGCGAUGUCGUACUUUUUGUAGAACGGUCCGGCGAGUUAUUUUAUAUGGCAAGGUUAAGUACUUAAGGUACGAAGCCGAAGAGAAAUCGAGUCUGAACAGGGCGACUAAGUCAUAUGAAAUAGACCCGAAACCGGGUGACCUAUCCAUGGUCAGGUUGAAGCUUGAGUAAAAUCAAGUGGAGGACCGAACCCAUAAGCGUUAAAAAGCUUCGGGAUGAACUGUGGAUAGCGGAGAAAUUCCAAUCGAACUCGGAGAUAGCUGGUUCUCCUCGAAAUAGUUUUAGGACUAGCCUUGUUUAGUAGUACGUGGGGGUAGAGCACUGAAGGAGCUAGGGGCCAAACCAGGUUACCGAACUCUAUCAAACUCCGAAUACCAUGUAUGUAAGAACAGGAGUCAGACUGUGGGAGCUAAGUUCCAUGGUCAAAAGGGAAAGAGCCCAGAUCGUCAAUUAAGGUCCCAAAGAUAUAGUUAAGUGGAAAACGAUGUGAUUUUGCGUAAACAACCAGGAUGUUGGCUUAGAAGCAGCCAUUCAUUUAAAGAGUGCGUAAUAGCUCACUGGUCGAGUGAAGUUGCGCGGAAAAUUACCGGGGCUAAACUAUACACCGAAAUUGCGGAUUCAUACGUAAGUAUGAGUGGUAGAGGAGCAUUCUGUUGUAGGACGAAGCAUGAUCGAAAGGACAUGUGGACGAAGCAGAAGAGAGAAUGCCGGAAUAAGUAGCGAAAGCAUGGUGAGAAUCCAUGCCAUCGAAAGUCUAAGGUUUCCUGGGGAAGGUUCGUCCGCCCAGGGUAAGUCGGGACCUAAGGUGAGGCCGAAAGGCGUAGCCGAUGGACAGCAGGUAGAAAUUCCUGCACCACCGAUAUACUUAAAAAGCACAAGGGACACAGGAGUGGAAGAGAAGCGAGGAAGAGGAAAAACUCGUAUCGAAAGAUAUAGUGAAAAUAAAGUAACGAAUUCUCAAGAAGCACACUGGCGAGAAAAGCUUGUGAGUAUUGUAUAUAGGUGCCCGUACCGCAAACCGACACAGGUAGAUGAGGAGAAGAUCCUAAGAUGAGCGAGAGAAGCAUUGUUAAGGAACUCGGCAAAUUGACCCCGUAACUUAGGGAGAAGGGGUACCGGUGUAACAGCCGGUCGCAGUGAAUCGGUCCAAGCAACUGUUUAACAAAAACACAGGUUUCUGCUAAAUCGAAAGAUGAAGUAUAGGAGCUGACGCCUGCCCAGUGCUGGAAGGUUAAGGGGAAGGGUUAUUCGUAAGAAGAAGCUUUGAACCAAAGCCCCAGUGAACGGCGGCCGUAACUAUAACGGUCCUAAGGUAGCGAAAUUCCUUGUCAGGUAAGUUCUGACCCGC
rnacentral:rRNA from 1 species